ensembl:lncRNA
AAACAGGAAGGGCCCUCUUUUCCCCUCCGCUCCUGCUCCAGCGGCAGGAUGUGAUCCACUGGCCAGGAGGGAUGCCAACAAGGCGUCCCAUCAGGCAAAUGGAUGGAACUAGAAGAAACCAUCAUGAGUGAGGUAACCCAGUCACAAAGAAGACAAACAUGAUUCAGGUCAUGAGAAUUCCCUUCCAAAUGUCCAUCCCUUCAAGACUCAGCUCAGAUGUUGCCUGGAUACAUCCAUUCUCAUCUGGACCAUCUCCUUCUUUUAAAAGUUUUCUGUUUUGCCCUCUUCUGUGAUUGCUACCAACACAUUCUUGGAUCCAACAUGGUGCCCAGGACUGCUGCAGUCAGUGAAUUAAUUCACUAUAAAUGCAAAUCCUUGUAGAGCAUGUAUGUCUGUUUCAAAUGUUAUGUUUCCAAAUGCAGUGCUUUGAUCUAUGUUAACGACGAAAGAUAUUUUCAGAAGAAUAACAUCUACUUUAAUAACUCAACUCUACCUGAGGCAACCAUACAUAUGAUGCCAUGUGGAGAUGAAAUGCAGUGUUGAAUUAAGGAGCGUGUUCGUCUACCAGUGCCCUGUGGUUUUGUGAAGACAGCGGUGCAUGCUACAUAGGAAUCUUUUCCUUUGGAAAACCCUAGUUUAUUUUCUCAGGUGUGAAUUUUGAUGUCCACUGUAAGAUACUUUAAUCAGACUUUUACAUUCCAGUUUCGACAUUUAGCACUAGUGUCUCCCUGUGCAGCAGAAGUCAGUUCCUCACAGCUAGCUGGAUAUUUUCCAACAUGGCUUACAGGUUGAGUUUAUAAUGUUCACAUGGAUGUUUUUGUAUUGCACUGGCAAACACUGUAGUCAGAAGCUAUUCUCUCCUUCUUCUCUGGAGAUUUUUACCUAGCAACUCUAAAGUAUAAUGACAGCCCCAGAUAGAAGCAUAGCAAAGGAAUUGAGAGCAAUAUUCUAGAACUUACAGGCUCAGGUUCAAAUCCUGCCUUGCAAAUUACCAGCCACACGAUCAUGGGCAAAUUACAGAUCUCUAGCUGCUUCAGCUCUCACAUAUGUAAGAUGGAAAUGAAUGUGGACUUUUAGUUUAUGGUGUUCUUACAUUCACUUAGUUAAUUUUUGGCAGAGCAGAGGGUUGAGAAUGACCACCUAUUAAGUAAGGACCACACCACAAACUCUGAACAAGACAUGUGCAUUAAUGGCUUUAUUUGAAUUUUCAUUUCGAGAGGAAAAUGUUUCAUCCCUCAAGGUUUUCACAAAAGCUAUACUCUGCAUAUUAAAUAACUGACAUACCAUUAACAUUAUAACCUUUUAACAAAUUAAGCUACUUCUGUCCACUAGAGGGUUACAUCCUUUUGAUAUUUUAUUGUAUUUUCAGAAUAAAAUAAAUAAAAUAUUAUUGUUAUUUUGAGUUCUAUUUAAGCUUUAAUAUGAUCACAUUGAUGCUGAAAUUUUCCUCUGGUGUUCUGUAACUGCAACCCAUGAAAAGGCAUUCUUCCCAGCAUGCAUGCACAGGGCACUUGGUCAGAUAGAUUAACCUUUGGCAUUUUCUAGAAAAACAUUCAUACUUUUGAUAUGAAUUCACACAUAGAUUUUCAUUUUUUCCUUAAAAAUUCAAAGUUUCAAGGAUGGAGAGUAGCUUAGCUGCCAAGAGCCCUUAUUUGCAGAGGAUCUAGGUCCAAUUCCCAGCACCACAGGGUAGCUCACAACUUUGGUAAUUUCAAUUCCAAGGACCAUCUUCAGACCUCUGCAAGCACCAGGCACACACAUGAUUCAUAAACAGGAAUGCAGGCAAAACACCCAUAUGCAUAUAAAUACAUGAAUGAAUAAAUAAUAAUAAUAAAGGCCUCAAAGUUUGUAUCUUAAGAUUUGAAAGACCUGACAUUCCUGGGACUGGCAGAAGAUGGGUUGCAGUAGGAAUAGAUUCUUGAUUAGAGAACCAUCAGAUACAAAUGAGAGAAAAAAAUAGAGCAGGUUGUGGUCCUGCUACUUAUUUCAAAGAUUAGAUGAGGAAAUGCAAAAGAGAACAGGAGUGGGGUACCCUAAUACUUUAAGUAUCUAUUCCAUGGUAAUUUUCAUUAGUCAGUGAAGGUCAUUGGCUGUAAGAUAAUUAUCCUACAGAAUCUUCUGUGCAUGCAUUUGUGCUUACAUGUGUGUGUGUUGUACAAACAAUAACAACAACAACAACAACAACAACAACAACAACAACACACACACACACACACACACACACACACACACACACACACACACGUGGAAAGUGGUUCUCAACUUGUGAGUCACGACCUCUUUUGUGGUCAACUAUCAGAUAUCCUGCAAGUCAGAUAUUUACAUUAUGAUUCACAACAGUAGCAAAAUUACAGUUAUGAAGUAGCAACAAAACAAUUUUAAGGUUGGGGUCACCACAACAUGAGGAAGUGUAUUAAAGGGUCACAGCAUUAGGAAAGUUAAGAGCCACUGCUCUUGGGGGGACUAGAGACCACUCUGACCAUAAUCAGUGGUCCACAAUCAGUGUUACCAUUUGUUAUGAUUUGCAGCUAAUAAGAGCAAAAAUUAUUGAGCAAAGCUUUAUGGUAUCCAUUGUACAAUACCAAGCAAACAAUGCUAAAUAAAAUAAAAUAAAACACAGACCAUAUGUAUGUAGUCAGGUUGUGUAAGGGAAGCUGAACCUAAGUUUAAUCCUUAUUUUUGAAAUAUAUUCCUUCACUGUUCUUUGAGCAGCGAUGUGGGAGUGAUGAACUGAGAAUCACUAAUAUCAAGUUUGAUAGAAGAUGACGUCAUACCAUGAAGGCUCUGGAAGACAUAAAUGCAAACCAUUCUGAGAUCUUGCUCCCAUAAAUGUACAUCGAGGAAAACAAAAACUCCCUAGAAAAGAUAGAGAAAUGUUUCAAAAUACUUCAGGAAAAAAUAGAACACAUAGAAAUUAAAUUAUUGAAAAUUUCCAAGGUGGAAUACAAGAUAAAUAUGCUUAGAAUUAUUAAAGAUGAAAGUUAAAAGUAUUAAUAUUUUAGAAAUACACAAGCCAUUUGGGAAAAGUUAAAGUUCCUAUACAGAACAUUUUAUAAAUAUUAAUAUAAAAUUACAAUUCAAUGAUUACUAUCAAAGUAUGUGUGAUAUAUGAAAAGAAACUUAGAAACCAAAAACCCUUUCAACAAGCUGAUAAAGAAUAUGAUC